UACCUUCCACAUAUAUUGCAUUUACUGUCUUAGGUUUGCAUUGGUGGCCAGGAAAACAUUUGUCUCCGCAUCUGAAACAGGGUUUAGGCCAAUUUCUGGUUGGUUGGGAAUUAUUGAUACUAAUUUUGGGUGCUGAGGAAAGGUUAGUAUUGGAAGAAGUUUGAUUAACAAACCCACUACUUGCUGCAGGUUGAGAUUUUGCAGUAGUAAAGGGGGAUUUUGAUGGCUGGUCAGUAUUAGGAGG
rnacentral:misc_RNA from 1 species